GCAAAGGUUGUUGAGACACAAGGCAGCUUAGAGCGACAGCUGGAGCUAAUUGAGACUCAUCAGGAAGAGGUUGACAAGGCAUUGCAAAGCAUGGAAGAAGAAGCUGAGCGAAUUUACAAAGAUGAGAGAGGAGUGAUUCUUGAUGAUGAAGCUGCAGCAACAAGGGAUGCAAUGUAUGAACAGGCCGAGUUUGUGGAGAGGGAAAUGGAGAAAAUGACAGAGCAGAUCAAGUCAAUCAUUAAUACUUUUAAUGCCUGCCAGGGUGGAGAACUUGAGGCAACUGAUGGAAUGACACCGCUUGAUGUUGUUGUACGAAUCUUGAACAAUCAAUUGAGUUCACUGAUGUGGAUUGAUGAAAAGACUGAAGAAUUCUCAUCUCGUAUUCAGAAGCUUGCAAGUGAAGGGCCUGCUGCCAAUCGUGAAUCAACUGCCCCUAAAUUAUGGUUGACUCGAUGAUUGUUGUAUUGGUGCUGUCAACAGGUUCAUGUCAAAGUAUAAACCCAAGGGCUUCUGAAUCUUUUGUGGAUUCUCCUUCCUGCUGU
rnacentral:misc_RNA from 1 species